rnacentral:lncRNA from 1 species
GCCCACAACAAGUAUCGUAGCCGAUGAAUCCCCACACGCUGUCUAGUGGUGAAGAAAUGAUGCCCCCAACAACAACCAUGAUCGAUGGUGGUCGACAAAGCAAAGAAAAAUAACAAAAAAAAUAGGGGACACUUUGUUCACGAUCUCCCAACAACUUGCCAUCUCUAAACAAGGUGGUUGUAAUGACUAUCAACUCAGAAAAGGAGGAACACAACUUAGAUCCCUGACCUAAAUCUGGCGAAGCCAAAAUGGAUGAUUCCAACGAUUUUUUUCCAGCCAAAAGUUCAAGAAACAAUGCUGCAAAAAGCUCAAAACCAAUGGUGAUUGCUUGGGAUUUUGAUGGAGUUCAAAGGAGGAGAUUGGCCUUUAUAGAUGAGAUCCUAGAGUUUUUAACUCAAAUUUGACACACUCUAGAAUCCUUAGUUCUGAUGGAGUUGGUAGGGAAGA